UAGGGAAUCUUCCGCAAUGGACGCAAGUCUGACGGAGCAACGCCGCGUGAGUGAAGAAGGAUUUCGGUUCGUAAAACUCUGUUGUUAGAGAAGAACAGCGCAUAGAGUAACUGUUAUGCGUGUGACGGUAUCUAACCAGAAAGCCACGGCUAACUACGUGCCAGCAGCCGCGGUAAUACGUAGGUGGCAAGCGUUGUCCGGAUUUAUUGGGCGUAAAGCGAGCGCAGGCGGUCAAUUAAGUCUGAUGUGAAAGCCCCCGGCUCAACCGGGGAGGGUCAUUGGAAACUGGUUGACUUGAGUGCAGAAGAGGAGAGUGGAAUUCCAUGUGUAGCGAUGAAAUGCGUAGAUAUAUGGAGGAACACCGGUGGCGAAGGCGACUCUCUGGUCUGUAACUGACGCUGAGGUUCGAAAGCGUGGGUAGCAAACAGG
rnacentral:rRNA from 1 species